GAGACAGGGAUACUGGAGUGAUGGAGGUAGAUAUGUAUAGGGGGAAGGAGACAGGGAUACUGGAGUGAUGGAGGUAGAUAUGUAUAGGGGGAAGGAGACAGGGAUACUGGAGUGAUGGAGGUAGAUAUGUAUAGGGGGAAGGAGACAGGGAUACUGGAGUGAUGGAGGUAGAUAUGUAUAGGGGGAAGGAGACAGGGAUACUGGAGUGAUGGAGGUAGAUAUGUAUAGGGGACAGGGAUACUGGAGUGAUGGAGGUAGAUAUGUAUAGGGGUAAGGGGACAGGGAUACUGGAGUGAUGGAGGUAGAUAUGUAUAGGGGGAAGGGGACAGGGAUACUGGAGUGAUGGAGGUAGAUAUGUAUAGGGGACAGGGAUACUGGAGUGAUGGAGGUAGAUAUGUAUAGGGGACAGGGAUACUGGAGUGAUGGAGGUAGAUAUGUAUAGGGGGAAGGAGACAGGGAUACUGGAGUGAUGGAGGUAGAUAUGUAUAAGGGACAGGGAUACUGGAGUGAUGGAGGUAGAUAUGUAUAGGGGACAGGGAUACUGGAGUGAUGGAGGUAGAUAUGUAUAGGGGGAAGGAGACAGGGAUACUGGAGUGAUGGAGGUAGAUAUCUAUAGCGGGAAG
rnacentral:lncRNA from 1 species